CGGAUUGAAGGCUGAAAUUCGCCUUCAUGAAGCCGGAAUUGCUAGUAAUGGCAGGUCAGCAUACUGCCGUGAAUACGUUCCCGGGCCUUGUACACACCGCCCGUCACACCAUGAGAGUCGGUAACACCCGAAGCCUGUAGUCUAACCGCAAGGAGGACGCAGUCGAAGGUGGGAUUGAUGACUGGGGUGAAGUCGUAACAAGGUAGC
rnacentral:rRNA from 1 species